GUAACAAACAAGUCUUGCAGAAAGUCCCUGUCUAGGUUGCAGCUGUGACGUGUGACUUUUCUAUACAGAAAGGAGAACUGGAGCAGAUGAGGAAAAUAUUGCUUUAUUGUCUUACUAAUCACUCUUUUCUUUUGAUAUAUAUUUGCUAUUGGAGGAAUAUACUCCCAUUUGCCUCACUAUUCAUAAUUUACAAUAUGUGUUUUUGUCAGAUAUGAUGAUGUCUCCUGAUAUAGCGUACUUCUACUUAACCCCUGUUAUAAUGUGUUUCUAACUAACUGCUAAAACCACAAGAGCUGUGUGUGGGUGCUGGCUGGAGACAGAUCUGCAAAAGUGCUUCCCCUAGAUGGGUGCAUACACAGGUCAAGAGUUCAUAGACAGGACUAGGAGGAAAAGCAGAUGUGGUAGAUGCAGCAUUUGUAUACUGCUCUCUGUUUGCUUGCUGCACCCCAGAUGUCAGUAGUGUCAAGUGUGUCAAGGAGAAGUGAUACUUUCACCUGCCCUUUUGUUUCUGUGUGCAGAGGUAUCUCUGUGUGCAGACCACAGACUUUUGAGAGAUGAUUCUGCCUGAAAACAGCUGAUGGCAACAAUAGAGAUUGGGGGUAACUGAUCAGAGGAGUGGCCAAAAAGAUUGAACGCUGCUGAUGGAUAAAAGGAGGGAGUCGAGAGAGUUCGAGAGCUUUUGGACAUCCAGACUGCUUGGCUGACGGUUCUUCAAAAGCCCAGGAUCCUGACCUUCGCUUUAUUCACUUAUGCUCAAUAAAUAAAUUAAUUGAUUUU